AUUCAUCCUGGGUUACACUGCAGGUUGUUCUCACUGGACAGAUGUGUUCUGCAAAUGGAGAUACAGCAUAGCCUGAUGACAUCCACACUGAGAGGCACCAGAAGGCCUUUUUCUCCUAAGGAUGUGCCUUAAUGGAAUUUGGAAACCACAGAGCACCUGCAUCAUCCCAAGUUACUUCCUGAUAAAUCUCACUGAGCACCUAGAGGAAGGCUAAGACUUGUUUUCCUUAUCCUUGUCAUAAGAGCUUUGAUGUGUUGCUAUGCACACUCAUCCUCAAAAAAGAGGCUAAAGUUACAUUUUUCACCUUGUCUUCCAUAACCAGUUAACAACCUUCCAGACAAUAUGCAUCAGAUUAAAGGGCUCUUACUCUUCUUUAUAUGAUAUAAUGUUCCCAGAGAACAGCUUAGAAAGUAGUACAUGAAUCAACAUAAAGGCAGCAAGAAUCUGUCAAACUUAAUUUCUGCUUGUAAUUGAUAACCACAGUCCUAACUCUGGACUUUUACUCUCUUAGUAUCACAGACAUUUAGCAGCUUUGAAUGUCUCUCAUGAGAGCCUUCACAUGAAAUCCAAACUUCUACCAUUCACACACACCUGGCUAUGACUCCUUUUGAAUUUCAAGCUGAAAGAUUGGCUCAGCUGUCCUGAAAACCUCCAGUCCUCUUAACAAGCCAGAGAGAAAGGAACUGUGAAGAAAAGGAUGCCUCAUUGAGGGAAGUCCACUCCACACAAUUACAGUACUCUGAAGGCAGCUGAGACAAAUCAUAUAAAGGCAGCUGAAGGGAAGAACACAUUUUUCUCUUGGCUGCCUCCUGUAUCAGCUCUUAGGGAACACACCUUCUAUGGACACAAUAAAAUUCAGCUAUCAAGACUCAGAAACUCUAAGCAUAUUUGAACAAGACAAGAUUUUCUCUCCAAGAUUGAUGAUGCCUGACUGAAAAGACAGAAGAGGAUCCUUCUGGUGAUAGGAAAAAAACUACAUGCUUCAGCAGGAGUAAAAAGGGGAAACAAAAGGCUUUAAUAAACCAAAAUAAGAAGACAUUUAUAGUGUCCUAAACAAUUUUUAAAGCCAUCAUAUAUCAAAACAGGAGCACUGUACAACCAACAACCUGCAUUCAUUCUGAAACAACUGAGCACAAAAACUAGUUUGGAAGUACAAAUAGCAACUAAAAGAACAUAGAUCAAAAUACAGCACAUUUCUGAAUUAUGUGAUGGCCUGGAAUUUCUUCUGUUAGCAGGAAAAAUCUGGAACAAAACAUUCUCCGUUAAAGUUGGCACAGAGAAUGAAAUUACAAGUGACUGCUGAAGCAAAGAUUUAUGCAUUCUGGUGGAUCAAUACUCCUACCCAUAAGGGAUAUCCACACAUGGAAACUUCAAAGCAAGUUCAAGUGUAAAUAAUCAUGCCUAUGUUUUUAAUGCAAUUAAAACAUAGACAAAGACCUGAAAAGUGCUUUGGGCCUGAAAAUCAACUUCUUACUAAAGAAUUACAGUUAUGGAUCAUGGCUCCUUCCUAUUGAAAAAAGAGAGUGAUCAAGCUACAGCAAUAAGCAAGGAGUUGUUUUGCCUUACCCAAAAGGAUCACCAACGACAAGAAAUGCGACAUCACAAACAUCAGCUUCCUUUAAAAUGCUGUCUGCUUCUUGUUCCACUGUUUCUCGAUCAGCCAAAAUCAAUUCUUUCCCAUAAAAUUCUUCCUAGAAAUUGAAAUUAAUAAGAAACACCAAAAUAAGACACUUUAGACUGGGCAUCUUUCUGACUGCUCUCUCAGGAACACAGGCAAUGGACACUGGAAAAGACCAACUUUAUCGUUCUCCCUAUAAGUCUGACCCAUGUUUUAGAGAACCCUGCCUCCCCCCUGGAACACCUCAUCUUCCCAGAAAGCAUAUCCCAAGCUGAAAAAAAAUAGUCAAGCACAUUGCUACUAAAAAAACUUCAGGUUUUAUGCCUUUUGUAUCAGUUAAGGAGCUGCUCCAAAAGCAGCCCAGUCACUCCUGCACACUGAAGGUAGGUGGAUGGACCUCCAGGUCUAGUUAAUUUAACCUGUUACCCUGCUGUAAGGCAAUAGCUUAGUUGUAACACCCACAUCAAACCAAGAUAGAAAUGCAAUGCUAACUGUGCCACAAACUAUUUUUCUUCAUUUAAGGAAUGAUUUCAAAGUAAUCCUUCAUCUUCACUUCUCUGCAAGAAAUAAUUUACUAUCUAUACAGAUAAGCAUGUAUUUGAUCAUGUUCUUUGUUUUUCUUUGAAGCUCAGUAAUCAUCAUGUCUCUUGGUAUGUUUUAAAUGCCUUUACUGCCAGAAUAAAACACUUUAGUUCUAGAACAUGUUGUUUGACCACAUCUAAAUCACAUGCCACCAUAGAUUUCACAUGCUCAUGACAUGAUUACAUAAAGGGUUUUUCCCAAGGCACAGACCAAAAAAAGUGGGAUUAUUCUAAAUAGUACUUAGAAAAUGCAGGUGGUAUUACAAACAUUACAAACUGAUGAAACUAUUAAGUCAGUUAGAGGCCAGAAAGAUUUUCUUCCAUCUUCUGUGACUUCAGUGACAGCUUCACCUGCAAAGACCAGUGAAUUGACAAGAGAAUCUUCAUACUUGUAGAAAAGCUUCCAUAAAAAUCUAUCCCACAGUUAGAAUCCUAGAUAUGGGUUCAGUUUCCUCUUCUAAAGAUGACUUGCUCACCAUUCUUGGCUAAGUUUAUCUACCUCUGUAAAAUGAGGAUAUUAUUUUCCUUAUGAAA